rnacentral:rRNA from 1 species
AGUAACACGUGGGUGAUCUGCCCUGCACUUCGGGAUAAGCUUGGGAAACUGGGUCUAAUACCGGAUAGGACUACGCACUGCAUGGUGUGUGGUGGAAAGCUUUUGCGGUGUGGGAUGGGCCCGCGGCCUAUCAGCUUGUUGGUGGGGUGAUGGCCUACCAAGGCGACGACGGGUAGCCGGCCUGAGAGGGUGUCCGGCCACACUGGGACUGAGAUACGGCCCAG